UUAUUCGAUUAAUUCCUUUGGCGGGGCCACAUUUAUAGGCCAGUCGUCCUUACCGCUUACCUGCAUUAGUAAAGGAUACAGGUCUGUUCGAUUGGCGGACGCCUAUGGACGCAUGCUUCUAGUUUCGUGCUUACUGGUGAAAAUAGUCAUUAAAAUGUUGCCUCACUCUCACCGGAGCGCUAAUAUCAGCGCAGAUAAAGAUUUUCUAGUUCCUGACGAAUUCGAUCCGGAA